rnacentral:rRNA from 1 species
AUGGAAGUUGCUAUCACUCAUACAAUUCCCUCUACAGUCCACCAUUUGUGUAAAUGGCACGUUAUGAAAAGUAUAAAGGAGAAUUUUGGGGCAUUAUAUAAGAAAGGGACCCCAUUCCAAAUUGACUUUAAUCGUCUCACGAAUGAGAUGAUGACUGUCGAUGAGUUCGACCGUGGAUGGGCUUAUCUAAUGGACACCUAUGGACUUGCUGGCAACAGGUACAUGGCACAUAUAUAUGAUUGCUGUGACAAAUGGGCCAAACCCUACCUCAGCUCGAACUUCUGCGCCAAGAUGUGUGGCACGCAACGUAAUGAGUGCAUGAAUAAUGUGCUGAAAAGCUAUGUUUCGCUUUCAGCACCUCUCAACCGUUUUGUGCUGCAGUAUAACAAGCUCAUAGCACAGCGGUGCGAGGAUGAAGACUUUGAGAUGGCACACACAAAGAAGGAUGGUAAGGUCCUCCAUACAAACUUUCCUAUCAAGCGUCGCGCGUCCAAGGUUUACACGCGCUCCUUGUUCAAGUUG